UACGAAGGGUGCAAGCGUUAAUCGGAAUUACUGGGCGUAAAGGGUGCGUAGGCGGUUGUUUAAGUCUGUCGUGAAAUCCCCGGGCUCAACCUGGGAAUGGCGAUGGAUACUGGGCAGCUAGAGUGUGUCAGAGGAUGGUGGAAUUCCCGGUGUAGCGGUGAAAUGCGUAGAGAUCGGGAGGAACAUCAGUGGCGAAGGCGGCCAUCUGGGACAACACUGACGCUGAAGCACGAAAGCGUGGGGAGCAAACAGGAUUAGAUACCCUGGUAGUCCACGCCCUAAACGAUGCGAACUGGAUGUUGGUCUCAACUCGGAGAUCAGUGUCGAAGCUAACGCGUUAAGUUCGCCGCCUGGGGAGUACGGUCGCAAGACUGAA
rnacentral:rRNA from 1 species